rnacentral:misc_RNA from 1 species
AAAGUCGUAACAAGGUUUCCGUAGGUGAACCUGCGGAAGGAUCAUUAUCAUAACGUUAUCCACGUAUAAACUAACAAACAGUGAACUGUCCGAUAAAGUAAUAAUGCGUUUUAAAGUUCGGGUUUGGAGGUGACUCAGUGAACCCUUUCAUAGUGUUAUUACUUUAUUAACUAUCAUCUCAUCUUAUUAACAAAUUGAACCGUUUAAUUAUUCUUUAUUGAGUAGUUAUUCAUUCUUUACCACUUUUAUUUGUACUGAAAUGAGUUAAAUCGUUUGAUGUCUUAACUGAUAUCGAACAUUCAACUAAUAUUUUACGAAAUAAAAUCAUAAAAAUGAACAACUCUUAGCAACGGAUAUCUUGGUUCUC